GUGCUCGCUUCAGCACCACAUAAACUAAAAACUGGAACAAUUCAGAGAAUAUUAACAUUGCCCCUGCACAAGGAUGUCAUGCAAAUUUGUGAAGCAUUCCAUAUUUUU